UCUCCUGUUUUCAGAAAGUCAUGGAGCAAACUUGGAUAUCAGACCUCUGACUAUCUACUUGGCUUGUUCACUGGCACCCUGAGAGACAAGGCCUGAUGCAGAUUUCUGACGUGAUUUGGCAGGUUCUGCAAAAAUAACUGCAAGAGUUGCUGCUUUAUU